GUUAUGUGAUUGGCUAACGAAAUUUGCUUCAAAAUGGCGUGAGGAAGUUUGUGUGUGUUUUCUAUAAUCCAUUUUAAUUUGAUUCUCAGAAUGAGGAUCUUUGAUUUUAUACCCAUGUGUGAUAUGAUAUUGCAGUAUGGGAGAAGCAUCAGUGAAGACUUUGGUAUUACAAGUGUUGGAUGGAGUCAUUUCAGCCAUGUUCUGAGUUUUGUGUCAUCAAAUAUUCCAUCCUUUCUGCACACCAACUAUGGAGAUCCUGUAGGAUUUGAGGUUUUCACAGCAGUACUUCUGAGAGAAAAUUGCUCUUCAGAUUACUGGUGUAUGCAAGAAGGUGAUCCCCUGUCCAUAAUCUGAAAGAAGCCCAACCUCAGACUGAAUUAGGAGGAUCCAUGAAGUUUUGAUGAUCACCGCAUACAAACCGCAAGGAACCCCUGCAUGUGUCAUGGGUAAUGUGUAGAAAUUAAUAAUCAAGAGGCUGUCUUAUGUUUGCAUUUUAAUAAUUGACAGCCGUGAAGGUUUUCAGGUGUGUCCAUUUUGAAGAAAGAGUUUAAAACACCACAUGCUGGUUUUUUUGACACCUGUGUCACCUGGCAUGGCACACUACGUUCUUACGUUAUGAGUGGAGAAAUGUCUUGACCUCUUAACAUAAAAAGAAACUAUUCCAGAUGACCUCAGACUUUGCAGUCUUUGACAUUACGAGCUUCGCAAUUUAUAUUUUUUGUUGUUGAAUAUUAUCACGGUGAUUAAUCAGGUUUGAGAUGGUACGACCUGUGAUGUGUACCACUGUUAUAAUGAGGAUCUUUUUGGGGUUUGGGUAAUUUGUUCUUUUUAUAAUUUUGAUUUAUUUCAGGUCAGGGUUCAGCUUAUGGAGGGUGCCUAUAACCUUUGUAGCUAAAAAAUGGCAUAACGGAUUUGACUCCUCCCUCCAUCCAUCCAAUGGCUCUACAGCCCAUAUCAGGCCUUGACCUCAAUUUUAUGCCUCCAUGAUGAUCUAUUAUUUGCAGCCAUUUUCCAAUUUCGACAUCGGAUCAGACCGGCAGCAUCUCAUCUCACAGCAUCUUCCCAUCUUCCUCUAGGUCUUCCCACCAUUUUUGUCCCUUCAAACUUAGCAUUUAGGACUUUCUUAGGGGUUCUUGUGCCAUCCAUCCUUUGAAUAUGCCCCGCCCAUUGCAGUCUUUUUAAUUUAAUGCAUGUUACGAGAUCGGGGUCUUUAUAUAGCGCGUAUAACUCCUGGUUAUAUAUCGCCCUCCACUGGUCAUUGUCUUUAACUGGGCCACAAAUCCUUUGUAGUAUUUUUCUUUCACACACUCUCAAGGCAUUUUCUAAUUUCUGGGACAGCACCCAGUUUUCACAGCCAUACAUGAGGACAGUGCGAAUUAAGGUUUUAUACAGCAGUAUCUUCGUUUCCCUGUGUAUAUCUCCACUUUUCAUCACUGCCUUAUUGGCCAACAUUAGCGUUCUUUGGAUCUCUCUAUAUUCUUCAUUAUUACUGGUAAUGCAUGUGCCCAAGUUCCACCCCCUCAAUAUUAUGAUCUUGGAUUACCAAUUGUUCGUCUACUCUAUUCUGCUUACGCGUUUUGGAACAAGGCUUUAGUCUUAUUUUCGUUGAUAGUUAAUCCAAUUUCAUCGGCACUGAUUCUCAUGAUUUCAAAAAGGUCCUUCACAGAUUUUAAUGACCUGCCAAGGAAACGUGUAUGAUCUGCGUAUCCGACUAUUUGGCACAUCUUAAAUUCAAGAGUUCCGUCGACAUCUGUAGGCAGCUUUCUAAAUUAAACAGUAUUGGGGCUAGUCCAUCACCUUGUUCAAUCUUGAAAGGACUUGCGAGAUCUACUUGUAUCUUCACAUGUGCAUCAGUGUGAGUCGUAGUUGCUCUAACGAGCCAUAUCAGUUUGGGGGUUAUACCAAAUUCAUGCGUAAUAGAAUAGUUUAUUCCCCUUCUUCACUUCUUCUAUGGCUCUCCGGUCCGUAUUCGGUCCACAGACUCCUUAAUUCUCCUCUUCCAUUCGGUCCGUCUGUCCGAGGCUUUGAUUGAGGUUUCGAAACAUCUUCCUUUUUACGGUGCAAGGUUGUUGGUCUUGCGACCAACCCCCAACCUGGAGGACCAGGGUACCAGUCCGACCUCUCCCCCUAGGGAGGUCCUACCACUAGCUCUUGGGGUCACCGAGGUACUCAAGCCGCACCACCACGACAAGGUGCAGGUACCUUUAAGUGGGGGGACUGUGACUCAAGCUUAAUUCUUCCUUGUAAUUCACUAUUUUCAGCGACUUUACUACAUUUGGCGCUAGACCAAGUGUUUAAACUGACUGACGGUCUGCUGAAUGCCAUGAAUACCGUAGAUAUAAUUUAUUCUUCACAUUCAGAAUUGAUUUUAAUAAAAUUCUGAGCCUUGUCAUUCCGUUCAGUCGUGUCACGUACAGUGUCAGUCGACAGAUUCGAAUAGUUUUAGAACAAGAAUCUGAUGUUUGGUUUUCGGUGAUAACGUGCUCGAUUAACGGUUGCCCAGGAAAUUGGGGAAGGGACGAAGUGUGUGCGGACAGGUGUCUAUCUAUCUAUCUAUCUAGCGUACAAAUAUACUAUUCAAAACAACAAAGAGCAAGGGGUUUUAAAAAAAAUAGCCAUCGCCUACUAGAGUUUGCAGUAAUUUUCUUGAUUUAUCGAACAACGUAUGAAACUUGAAACCUCCAGUUGGCCAGUACCCCACUAUAUGGUACCUGUGCCUUGUCGUGGUGGUGGGGCUUGAGCACCUCAGUGACUUGAGUGGGAUUCGAACCCACGGUCCCAGCGACCAAGCGGCACAAGGCCCACGCCUCAGACCGCGCGGCCACUACAGACCCCUACUGGCUUAAAAAUAAGUAAAAAAAAUAUUAGCUUAAUUAUUUUUAAGAAAUAAUAUUUUUAGCUUCAGUAAGAUAAUAAAUUGUGUCGCAAGGAGUUAUUGCUGCGUCUUGUAUACUGUGUGUGGUGAUUAGAACUAAAGUGGUGUAAGUCGACAAAGGAAUAGAAGGAAUAUUUUAAACGUGUGUUUUUAAUUUAUUCACUGUAAUCAAUGAAAAUAUAAUUGUCCUACAGGGAAAACAAUUUCCUAGCAAGCGGAACAUUUGAUUUUUACAAGAAUUCAGCUCUGAGUUCAUAUGUAUCUGUAUAUAUGUAUAUAUGUGCUAAAAUGUAUUAGAGAGUAUAUGAGUGCGUGUGUAUAUAUAAAUAAAGAAUUCCCCUGUGUGCGUGAUAUUCUAGCUUCACUGGAGGAAAAAAAUUGCAAAA